rnacentral:hammerhead_ribozyme from 1 species
AUCCAGCUGACGAGUCUCAAAUAAGACGAAUCACGCCUACUGGAU